GAUGAACGCUGACAGAAUGCUUAACACAUGCAAGUCAACUUGAACUUCGGUUUGGGUGGCGGACGGGUGAGUAACGCGUAAAGAACUUGCCUCACAGAUAGGGACAACAUUUGGAAACGAAUGCUAAUACCUGAUAUUAUGAUUAUAUGGCAUCGUAUAAUUAUGAAAGCUAUAUGCGCUGUGAGAGAGCUUUGCGUCCCAUUAGCUAGUUGGAGAGGUAACGGCUCACCGAGGCGAUGAUGGGUAGCCGGCCUGAGAGGGUGAUCGGCCACAAGGGGACUGAGACACGGCCCUUACUCCUACGGGAGGCAGCAGUGGGGAAUAUUGGACAAUGGACCAAGAGUCUGAUCCAGCAAUUCUGUGUGCACGAUGAAGUUUUUCGGAAUGUAAAGUGCUUUCAGUUGGGAAGAAAAAAAUGACGGUACCAACAGAAGAAGUGACGGCUAAAUACGUG
rnacentral:rRNA from 1 species